GAUGAACGCUAGCGGCAGGCCUAAUACAUGCAAGUCGAACGGUGUCUUCGGACAUAGUGGCGCACGGGUGCGUAACACGUAUGCAACCUACCUUACAUUGGGGGAUAGCCUUUCGAAAGGGAGAUUAAUACCGCAUAAGACAGUAGCUGGGCAUCCAGCAGCUGUUAAAGAUUUAUCGAUGUAAGCUGGGCAUGCGUCCAACUAGGUAGUUGGUGAGGUAACGGCUCACCAAGGCAAUGAUUGGUAGGGGAACUGAGAGGUCAAUCCCCCACACUGGCACUGAGAUACGGGCCAGACUCCUACGGGAGGCAGCAGUAGGGAAUAUUGGGCAAUGGACGCAAGUCUGACCCAGCCAUGCCGCGUGCAGGAUGAAGGCGUUAUGCGUUGUAAACUGCUUUUAUACAGGAAGAAACGACUCUUGCGAGAGGCAUUGACGGUACUGUAUGAAUAAGCACCGGCUAACUCCGUGCCAGCCGCCGCGGUAAAAC
rnacentral:rRNA from 1 species